UGCAGGGGGCUGUCUAUCAUCCUGGAGUUUCAGUGUUUCAGAAUCGCAGCGGCCACAGCUUUUGGGAAUAAUUCAUCGCGUGUGCCCUGCACGGCUGGGAGAGAGCUGGGGAAGUGGGCAUGUGAGAGGCUCAGCUACCGGAUUUCUUCCCUUACAGCCCGGCUGCCAUGGGCUAGGAUCACCUUUCUCUGCAUCGUCUUAACUAAGGUCAGCCCUGGUGUCUGUUCAAACGACAAACGCUCAGUCCCCUUGACCUUCAGGAAUCUAUCCUGGUACAAACGAAAUGGCCAGAAUGUUAGGAUAUGUGUGCAAAGAUAUUUACUGGUGUGUUGUCUGCCCUGGCAAUAAUUGGAAACAUUACUUUACCAAUAGGUGAAUAAUAGAAUCAAUUCGGGCACAUUCAGUAUUAUGGAACAUCAUGGGUCAUUACGAAGAAUUAGGUAGAUCUCCCUGUAUUGAUCUGGGAGGCACACUAUCUAUUGUUCAGCAAUAAAGCAACUUGCUGAUUCA
rnacentral:lncRNA from 1 species